rnacentral:misc_RNA from 1 species
UAAGUUUUGUUCUGCAUUUCCGUCCCAUUUUCUUGUAAUACGGAACUGCAUAGCAAUACUUAUCAAAUAUUUAUCUAUCUAAAGAUUGUAAUUCUUUUCCAGUACUCAACUGUUAGGUUGUGUCAAUUAAUCGUAAUCCCAGCUCAAAAUCAGUAGAUGAUACAAUUGUCUGAGCAAGUGCACUGCUGCUACCAGUUGAGAACGCUGCUACUCUCUACUGCUCUUUUGUUUUUUUGGAUGUUGCUUUCACAAGUAAUUUGUCAACCCCAGUUUUCUAUACUCUUUCAUUUGCUAUGUAUGUUAUUAAAAGAUGAUUUAAGCAUAUAAGCUCCUUCAUCUUUUAAUAACAUACAUAGCAAAUGAAAGAGUAUAGAAAACUGGGGUUGACAAAUUACUUGUGAAAGCAACAUCCAAAAAAACAAAAGAGCAGUAGAGAGUAGCAGCGUUCUCAACUGGUAGCAGCAGUGCACUUGCUCAGACAAUUGUAUCAUCUACUGAUUUUGAGCUGGGAUUACGAUUAAUUGACACAACCUAACAGUUGAGUACUGGAAAAGAAUUACAAUCUUUAGAUAGAUAAAUAUUUGAUAAGUAUUGCUAUGCAGCUCCGUAUUAC